rnacentral:rRNA from 1 species
AGCAGCCGCGGUAAUUCCAGCUCCAAUAGCGUAUAUUAAAGUUGUUGCAGUUAAAAAGCUCGUAGUUGAAUUUCGGGAUCAAUAUAUUGGUCAUGCUUAGGUAUGUACUGGUAUUAUUGAUUUCUCCCUUCUGAAGAACCAUAAUGUCAUUAAUUUGAUGUCAUGGGGAAUCAGGACUGUUACUUUGAAAAAAUUAGAGUGUUUAAAGCAGGCUUUCGCUUGAAUACAUUAGCAUGGAAUAAUGAAAUAGGACGUUUGAUUCUAUUUUGUUGGUUUCUAGGAUCGACGUAAUGAUUAAUAGGGAUAGUUGGGGGCAUUAGUAUUCAAUUGUCAGAGGUGAAAUUCUUGGAUUUAUUGAAGACUAACUACUGCGAAAGCAUUUGCCAAAGAUGUUUUCAUUAAUCAAGAACGAAAGUUAGGGGAUCGAAGACGAUCAGAUACCGUCGUAGUCUUAACCAUAAACUAUGCCGACUAGGGAUCGGAUGAUGUUAAUUUUUAAUGACUCAUUC